CGCCUGGGGAGUGCGGCCGCAAGGUUAAAACUCAAAUGAAUUGACGGGGGCCCGCACAAGCGGUGGAGCAUGUGGUUUAAUUCGACGCAACGCGAAGAACCUUACCUGGUCUUGACAUGCAGAGAACUUUCCAGAGAUGGAUUGGUGCCUUCGGGAACUCUGACACAGGUGCUGCAUGGCCGUCGUCAGCUCGUGUCGUGAGAUGUUGGGUUAAGUCCCGUAACGAGCGCAACCCCUAUCCCUAGUUGCUAGCAGUUCGGCUGAGAACUCUAGGGAGACUGCCGGUGACAAACCGGAGGAAGGUGGGGAUGACGUCAGGUCAUCAUGGCCCUUACGGCCAGGGCUACACACGUGCUACAAUGGCGCGCACAGAGGGCUGCAAACCCGCGAGGGGGAGCCAAUCUCACAAAACGCGUCGUAGUCCGGAUCGCAGUCUGCAACUCGACUGCGUGAAGUCGGAAUCGCUAGUAAUCGUGAAUCAGAAUGUCACGGUGAAUACGUUCCCGGGCCUUGUACACACCGCCCGUCACACCAUGGGAGUGGAUUGCACCAGAAGUGGUUAGUCUAACCUUCGGGAGGACGAUCACCACGGUGUGGUUCAUGACUGGGGUGAAGUCGUAACAAGGUAACCGUA
rnacentral:rRNA from 1 species